rnacentral:rRNA from 1 species
UAAUACGUAGGGGACGAGCGUUGUCCGGAAUUAUUGGGCGUAAAGAGCGUGUAGGCGGCUCUGCAAGUCCUGCGUGAAAUCUCGAGGCUCAACCUCGAGCGGUCGUGGGAAACUGGAGGGCUAGAGUGCGGGAGAGGGAAGUGGAAUUCCAGGUGUAGCGGUGAAAUGCGCAGAUAUCUGGAAGAACACCCGUGGCGAAGGCGGCUUCCUGGAACGACACUGACGCUGAGACGCGAAAGCGUGGGGAGCAAACAGGAUUAGAUACCCUGGUAGUCCACGCCGUAAACGAUGGACGCUAGGUGUGGGCGGUGUCGACUCCGUCCGUGCCGAAGCUAACGCAUUAAGCGUCCCGCCUGGGGAGUACGGCCGCAAGGCUA